CUGGUGUACACAAACCUACUGCCUGAUCACCAGUGACCUGAUUAGCUGCAGAUGUCUGAGUGGUCAGACCCACACCGGGAUGUGAAUCAGAGCUGCAGAAUUGCCUCCGGUUGAAUCGUGGACAAGGAGGAAAAUGUUUUAGAAGAAUUAAUGUGAAGUCAGUGCUGGAGGCUAGUGACUAGUGAGACAAAAGGUAAGAGAGUGGAUUAAAAUAACACCAGAUCAUUCUCACUAGGUUUGGUUCUAUGCUAAGUCUAUGAGGAACACUGGGCUCUAUUCUAGAAGAGCUUAGAGUUUUCUUCCAAUCUUACCUGGUAAACCUUUAAGACUCUUCCCUCUGUAGAUUUCUGGGUUACUUCCUUAUCCAUGCUGUCUUUCAGAGAAAGUACAGGGUUGGGUUGAAGAGUCUUCUGAGGCCCUACAACAACUCUCCUCUGUUCUUUCUGGGCCUAAGCUGGGGCUGGAGUGUUGAUAGCUGGGCUUUUUGCCAAGGCCUAAACUCCGUCCCCAUUGCCAAGGGCAGCUCUGGUCAGGGUAAGUUGCAGAUGGCUGAAGAAACUCCAUCCUGGACCUCUGGAUUAGGCUCUUUUCCAGGGGGUUAAGUGUGUAUAGGAAGAUCUUGG
rnacentral:lncRNA from 1 species